rnacentral:tRNA from 1 species
UCCCCGACAGUCCAAUGGUUAGGACUCGGUGUUUUCACGGCCACAGCCCAGGUUCAAUCCCUGGUUGGGGAA